AUGCAUUGGGUCAAAUGGAAGGAUCUCACCAUACCCAAAGUAUGCGGUGGCAUGGGUUUCAAAGACUUCGUCCUCUUCAAUAAAGCUAUGCUAGCGAAGCAAGGGUGGCGUUUGAUUUGUUACCCGGAGACGUUGUGUGCACAGGUGUUGAAAGGAAAAUAUUUUAAUGAUGGCAACUUUAUGACUAUAGGGUGUAAGAGAAAUUCCUCACAAACAUGGAGGGCAAUCAUUUCUGGCAGGGAA
rnacentral:rRNA from 1 species